GGGCCCGCACAAGCGGUGGAGUAUGUGGUUUAAUUCGAUGCAACGCGAAGAACCUUACCAGGGCUUGACAUCCUGCGAACCUCUGUGAAAGCGGAGGGUGCCUUCGGGAACGCAGUGACAGGUGGUGCAUGGCUGUCGUCAGCUCGUGUCGUGAGAUGUUGGGUUAAGUCCCGCAACGAGCGCAACCCACGUCUUUAGUUGCCAGCAUUUAGUUGGGCACUCUAGAGAGACCGCCGGUGACAAACCGGAGGAAGGUGUGGAUGACGUCAAGUCAUCAUGCCCCUUACGUCCUGGGCUACACACGUACUACAAUGCUACGGACAAAGAGCAGCAAGUUCGCGAGGACAAGCAAAUCUCAUAAACCGUGGCUCAGUUCAGAUCGUAGGCUGCAACUCGCCUACGUGAAGGAGGAAUCGCUAGUAAUCG
rnacentral:rRNA from 1 species